rnacentral:lncRNA from 1 species
ACGCGUCCGCUGCCGCUGCCGCUGCCGGGCCGACGCCUCCGACCGCUCUCUCGUCCUCCACCCCCGCCCCGCCGCGCUCCGGGCAGCGUCCCGCGCGGAGAAGGGGGCGGGCGGCGGAGAGAUAUCCUUCCUCCGCGCGCCGAGGAGUCCCGACGCCGCCGCCGGCUUCGCAGGCGCUGAGGACUGGACCAGGCGGUGCCUUUCACGCGAAGAGGUUACGACCACGGACACAACCUCCUUUGAUGCAUUGUGCGAGGCAGCACCUCGGGCCCCGGACAGUAGUCAUUUCACAGAAAAUGCACCGCCCCGAGUGUCUUAUUGCUGUGAUGAAAUGGAAAUUUAAAUAAAAGGUCGAACACGUGCGUUCACUGGGAAGUAUUGACAUGGGUGUUACAUCACCAGCAGCCAAUCAGAUAACUCCAGUCGUGUUUAUACUUCUACAACCACCUUGUGAGUAUUACAGUAUGUCAUAACGUUAUAAAUAUUAGGCAGGGUUUUCCCCAGGAGCGGGGAGGAGUCUGCUUCUACGGACGUUGUGAGCGGCUCCGAAGAUUGUGUGUUUAAAGUCAACAAUUCAUUUUUAAGACUUUUUUCGAACUGUUUACAUUACAUGGACUUUAGAUUGAUUCUGACAGAAUGAACUGGAAAUGAAAUCCCACAGUUAUGAUCGUAGUAGAGUUUUUUUUUCCAAUUUAGGGCCCUUAUACUCCUUUUAAAAAUUUUUAAUAUGCUAAAUUUAGCAAAUACUAAAGUGUUAAGACUCAUCUGACAAUGUGAGAAUUUAAGCCUAUUUCAGGUUAAGAAAAAAAAGAUGUUUUCAAGUUAUGGAGGGGCUUUUUACUCUUAAGCGACAUAUGUAUUAGAAGUUGAAUCACGAACUGAUAAAAUGCUCCAGAUAAUUGUUGACUAAAAAAAAUACGGCAGGACAAAUUUUUUACAUUAAUACAUAUGUGCAGAAAAUGAGAAAUAUACAUGAACUCUUUACAGUUAUAGAUUAAUGGGAAGGGUUAUGUUAAAGGCUUGAACCUCCUAAAUAAUGUAUUAAUGUAAAUAAAGUUAUAUAUGUUUUAUGAAGAACAGGUGUUACAAUUUUUAGACCUAGUUUUAUGAUUCUUAUUCUCUUCAAAAGUUCUUUUUCUAUUUCAAAACUAAGAGCAAUAUGUAAAGCUUUGUAUAAUAUGGAAUAUGGUAUGUAUUUCAAGGUUACUUUAAAAAGCAAGCUUUGGCUGGUCCCAAGGUAGUGAAUUGUCUCAAUUGGUUAUUCACAGUUGGUUGCCCGUUGUACCACUCUUUCCCCACUUCCACUUGACUAGUCUUUUAAAAAUAAAUAAAUAUUUAAAUAAACAAGUCUUCUCAAACAUUAUAAAAGACCGUUUUUCUUAAUAUUUUUUAAAUGGACUAACAUGAAUCCACAUCCAGACUCAUAUUAAUUGUAUACAUUUAUUCAAAGCAACAUUCACUUCAUUCAUUGUAAUUUUUAGUACCUGUUGAUGAGCAGUGUUGAUUACAUGUAAUUUUAAUGUAAAGAAUGACAGUACUACCCUGCCACAAAAGGAUUUUGGCUUUGAGUUAUUUUUCCGGUAAUAAACAUAUUGUCACCUGGCCACCAGUGACCAAGAGCUUGAAAUUCUGAUAUAGUUCUUCAGGCAUUUUGAAAAUAAAUACAUUUAUUAUAUGUUAAUCACCACAGCCUCCACCCCCAUAAAAAGAGGGAAGAGUUACUGAAGUUAAUUACUUAUCUAGGAUCAAGGUGAUGGGAAAUGAAAAUGGACUUAAAAAUUUUUAUUUUGCUGGGCACGGUGGCUCACGCCUGUAAUCCCAGCACUUUGGGGGCCGAGACGGGCGGAUCAUGAGGUCUGGAGUUCAAGACCAGCCUGACCAACAUGGUGAAACCCCGUCUCUACUAAAAAUUCAAAAAAUUAGCCAGGUGUGGUGGCGCUCGCCUAUAAUCCCAGCUACUCAGGAGGCUGAGGUAGAAGAAUCACUUGAACCAGAGAGGCGGAGGUUGCAGUGAGCUGAGAUCAUGCCAUUGCACUCCAGCCUGGGCGACAGAGCGAGAUUCCAUCUGAAAAAAAAAAAAAUUUUAUUUCAGCUCUAAAGCUUGUUUUCAUUCAAAAACUGUUAAAUUCAAAUAUUUGCUACUUCUUAUCUCGUAUCCUACUACAUAGUAGGCACUAUAUAAAUUUAUGUAUUAUUUUUGCUAAUAGUGCCAGAAUCAACCAAAAACGUUUAAAUCCAUAAUUGUGUCAGACCUGCCUUUUUCUCAGACAUAUAUCUUACCUUAUGUUUUAUAAAAUCCUCAUUGUCUUCUAUCUGAAGUUAUGUUUAAACAUGGACUAAUUAGGAAUGAAUGACACUAGAGUCAAGUGGUACAAAUAAAUGACUUAAAUUCUAGGACCACUGAACUAACAGUAUC